AAUGGCACAAAAUAUGUCCUAUUGGGCACAAAUUAGGUUAUCCUGCGCUUGUAAGACAGCAGAUGUUGGUAUGACAUCCUUUUAAAACAUCAAAACUGACUUAUCCAAGAUCUGAUUUCUAAAACUAUUUCUGUUGGAUUUGAACAGUCCAACAUUUAAGGGGUUUAUGAAGAAGCUAAAUGUACAAUUGAAGAGCUGUGUUUGUAGUAAUCUCCCAAAUUUGUACUUAGUGUAUCAAAUAAAACUACUUGUUUUUUAUUUUGUCCUUAAUACAGAGGUGGCCAAAAGUCGAGCGAAACAAAUUUGCAACACAAUUUGUAAUAGUAAAAAAAUCAUUUAUUUCUUCAAAUAAAAAAAAUGAUAUAAAAAUGAANUACGAAUAAUCGGUACUCAAAUUUUGGAUUGGCGUUUUGUAAACUCGAUCUUUGAUAACUCCCCACAUGCUGAAAUCACAAGGUGUGAGAUCGGGUGAUCUUGGGGGCCAUUCCAUCGUCCCAUGGCGACCAAUCCACUCGUUGAAGUUUUUUAUUCAAAAAAUCACGAACCACAAUCACAUAAUGACAUGGGGCUCCAUCUUGUUGCCAGAUAAUUCGCUUACCACGAAUGAUAUACGAAACAAGAUAACGAGACCAAAGUUGCAAUAUGACGUAACGGAAACGACGUGAAGGGAAAAACUGCACCGUAACGCGCGUUCUAUACAAGACGGUAGGUGUUGUGUGACUCUUGGCUACCUCAGUAUGUUUUCUGAAUAAUUAAAAAAUAUUACCGCCAUAAA